UACGUAGGGGGCAAGCGUUGUCCGGAAUCAUUGGGCGUAAAGCGCGUGUAGGCGGCCCGAUAAGUCCGCUGUGAAAGUCCAGGGCUCAACCCUGGAAUGCCGGUGGAUACUGUCGGGCUCGAGUCCGGAAGAGGCGAGUGGAAUUCCUGGUGUAGCGGUGAAAUGCGUAGAUAUCAAGAGGAACACCUGAGGCGAAGGCGGGUUGCUAGGCUGACACUGACGCUGAAGCGCGAAAGCCAGGGGAGCAAACGGG
rnacentral:rRNA from 1 species